rnacentral:rRNA from 1 species
GACGAACGCUGGCGGCGUGCUUAACACAUGCAAGUCGAACGGAAAGGCCCUGCUUUUGCGGGGUGCUCGAGUGGCGAACGGGUGAGUAACACGUGAGUAACCUGCCCUUGACUUGGGGAUAACUUCAGGAAACUGGGGCUAAUACCGGAUAGGAGCUCCUGCUGCAUGGUGGGGGUUGGAAAGUUUCGGCGGUUGGGGAUGGACUCGCGGCUUAUCAGCUGGUUGGGGGGGUAGUGGCUUACCAAGGCUUUGAUGGGUAGCCGGCCUGGGAGGUUGACCGGGCACAUGAGGACUGAGAGACGCAGCAGUCUGCAACGUGGGGCAGCAGGGGAGAGUCUUGCACAAUGGGCGGGAGCCUGAGACAGCAGCGCCGCGUGCGUGAUGAUGGCCUUCGGGGGGUAAACCGCUGUCGCCUGUGACGAAGCGGGAGUGACGGUAAUGGGUAAAGAAGCACCGGCUAACUACGUG